rnacentral:rRNA from 1 species
CUACGUGCCAGCAGCCGCGGUAAUACGGAGGAUGCGAGCGUUAUCCGGAUUUAUUGGGUUUAAAGGGUGCGUAGGCGGCCUGUUAAGUCAGCGGUGAAAUCUAGGAGCUUAACUCCUAAAUUGCCAUUGAUACUGGCGGGCUUGAGUGUAGAUGAGGUAGGCGGAAUGCGUGGUGUAGCGGUGGAAUGCAUAGAUAUCACGCAGAACUCCAAUUGCGAAGGCAGCUUACUAAGGUACAACUGACGCUGAAGCACGAAAGCGUGGGUAUCAAACAGGAUUAGAUACCCUGGUAGUCCACGCAGUAAACGAUGAUAACUGGGCGUAUGCGAUAUACAGUAUGCUCCUAAGCGAAAGCGUUAAGUUAUCCACCUGGGGAGUACGCCGGCAACGGUGAAACUCAAAGGAAUUGACGGGGGCCCGCACAAGCGGAGGAACAUGUGGUUUAAUUCGAUGAUACGCGAGGAACCUUACCCGGGAUUGAA